CGGGAGGAAAAAGGAGGGAGAGGAAGGGGGUGGGGGCGAGCAGAAGGGGCCCACACACCCACCCCGGGACCCGAGCCGGAGUGGGUGGGGGAAGGGGGACAGUUCCCGCAGCCGAGAAGACGAGGAGGGGUCAGAAAAGCAGGGGGAGCUUUGGUUGAGGGUGGGCCCGCUCAUAAUCUAGGGGAGGUCGGGAAGCUCUGGGGGGUCCUUGAAUCCCCUUCCAUGUGGGAAGCAAGCACGAGGCAGCUGAGUGGAGCGGGCUCCCCGCCCGGAGUUUGCGGUCCAGGUGUCUUCUAUGGGCACAGAGACUGCUUGGCAGGUGGAGACGGGAGAAACGUGUCAGGAAUGUCUCGGCCAGGGAAGGGGCUCAUGCUGCGGGUCCCUGGAUCCCUGGCUUGAAGGGGCAGGGAGGAGGCUACAAAUGAGGGUGAGUGACUUCUGAAUCACACCCCACCCCCUAGUGACAAAGACGUACUAAGUGCUUUAUUGAGUCACUUCUCUGAUCCCUAAGGACAAAAAAGCCAAGAGACUUCCAAACCCAGUUGGGCAAGCAAGUGCUUUCAUGGGGAAAGGGAGCCCCAGUGGAGUUUCUCAACCUUCACUGGCUGCAAGCCCCAAAGUCUGGCCCCUGCCUUCCAGCAGGUCCAUUCUCCUCAUCCACCCUGAAGCCCGCCUUCCUGACUGCACAGGGCUCACCUCUUGGGGGAACAGGUCUUGCCUUCUAAAGUGGAGUUCUUUCCCAUCAGGGCUGGACUGUCUUGGUGACCUUGAGCCAGGAGGACUCCUCCCUGGGCCUGAGCUUCCUCCUCUGCCAAUGACGGUUAAGGCUGAUGAUCCCAAGGGACUCAAGUUUCAUAGUCAGCUUUCUCUGACUCAGUCUUUCCCUCCUGUGUCCUGUUGCCCAGCAGCCCUGAACACAUGAUCCUAAUUUUAAGGGAAGAAGGUGAAGGAAUAAAGAGGAUCCAUCAGAGGAGGCAGGGAAGAGAUUGUUUCAUCCACUCAACGACAGUCUGUGGACAUCAAGCUGUGUCAGACACUGGGCGAGGUGCAGGAAUCCAAAGGUUGAAAAAAACAAUUUCUAUCCAAGUUAACAUCACUGGAGAAUCAUUAACAGAGGACAGAAGAGUAAAUGUUGGCCAUCUGCUUCAUACUAGACCUUGUACAGUCCUCUACAUAUGAGUCAGAGCAUCUCAGGAUAUCCCUUUAAGGGAUAUUAACUUGGAUAGAAAUAUGGUUCCUUCAAGCUGGAGGAUUCAGAGCAUGUGUCAAGGCUUAAGUAACCAUCAUUAAACUGGCAGAAAUAAUCCAGCAGACAUGGCAAACACAUGGCACAUAUGCCUCUGUAAUGUGGGUGGGCCUCAUCCAAUCAGCUGAAGGCCUCAAUAGAACAGAAAGAUGCACCUCCCUGAGCAAAAGGCAAUUCUUCAGCAGACUGACUUCACACUGGAA